rnacentral:rRNA from 1 species
GUGCCAGCCGCCGCGGUAAUACCGGCAGUUCGAGUGAUGGCCGCGUUUAUUGGGCCUAAAGCGUUCGUAGCUGGCCACGCAAGUUCGUCGGGAAACCUACUCGCUCAACGAGUAGUCGUCCGGCGAAAACUGCGUGGCUUGGGACCGGGAGACUCGAGGGGUACGUCCGGGGUAGGAGUGAAAUCCUGUAAUCCUGGACGGACCACCGAUGGCGAAAGCACCUCGAGAGCACGGAUCCGACAGUGAGGAACGAAAGCUGGGGUCUCGAACCGGAUUAGAAACCCGAGUAGUCC